UUUCUCUGUAUGGAUUUAGCUGGAGUUGUUUAAGUUGUUUAUGUACUUCGGUGUAGCCUAUUUGGUUUGGUUAUCUGAAUAUGAAGUACGGGAAAGAAGUAAUCAGUUCAUUUUCCAAGCUUAAAUCGAAGGUCAUGUCCACUUUAGCUCAAGAUUGAGCAAGCUCUGAGUUACUACUAAGAGUCCAAGAGUGAUCCAGGCAGAUGUGUUUGAAGUGUUUGCGCUUUGAAUAAAUAGUGACUUACAUGAACCAGCUUCUUUAACCAAUAACCAAUGGUUCAUUGGUAAUUGAAGUUAAUGGGAAUAUUUUUGGCUGUCUUCGACAUGGAUUUAAGAUUUGAGAUGGGUGCUCCUUCUCAAAGGAAUCGAGUAAGAAGACCAGUAAAACCAACCCAAAAGUUCCAAGA